rnacentral:misc_RNA from 1 species
AGAAAGUUGGAGCCAUGUCACCCAGCUUCCUGGUGUUGGCAAGUAUGGAGCUGAUGCACAUGCAAUAUUCUGCACUGGAUAUUGGAAUGAAGUAGUACCUGAAGAUCACAUGCUUAAUUAUUACUGGGAUUUUCUCCACAGCAUCAAACACCUGCUCUGAUCUUAUGUGACUAUAGAUAGUUUUGUACGGGAUCGGAAGUUGGCUUCCUA